AUACCUUUCUCGGCCUUUUGGCUAAGAUCAAGUGUAGUAUCUGUUCUUAUCAGUUUAAUAUCUGAUACGUGGGCCAUCGGUCCACAUGAUAUUAAAUUAAUUUUUUUAGGGGGAGAGCUCACUCACAAUAGCUUGCUAUUGGGGCUCUUGCGCGUCGCCCAAGCGUUGCACUGCUGCUCGGGCCUGGCGCACCCCAC
rnacentral:snRNA from 2 species